GUCUACAGCCAUGCCACCCUGAACGUACUGGAUCUUGUCUAAUCUCAGAAGCUAAGCAAGGUCAGGCCUAGGAAGACCAGAGAUCACCUUGGAAGACCAGGUGCUGUAGGCA
rnacentral:rRNA from 1 species